GAUGAACGCUGGCGGCGUGCCUAAUACAUGCCAGUCGAGCGAACAGACGAGGAGCUUGCUCCUCUGACGUUAGCGGCGGACGGGUGAGUAACACGUGGAUAACCUACCUAUAAGACUGGGAUAACUUCGGGAAACCGGAGCUAAUACCGGAUAAUAUAUUGAACCGCAUGGUUCAAUAGUGAAAGACGGUUUUGCUGUCACUUAUAGAUGGAUCCGCGCCGCAUUAGCUAGUUGGUAAGGUAACGGCUUACCAAGGCAACGAUGCGUAGCCGACCUGAGAGGGGGAUCGGCCACACUGGAACUGAGACACGGUCCAGACUCCUACGGGAGGCAGCAGUAGGGAAUCUUCCGCAAUGGGCGAAAGCCUGACGGAGCAACGCCACGUGAGUGAUGAAGGUCUUCGGAUCGUAAAACUCUGUUAUUAGGGAAGAACAAAUGUGUAAGUAACUAUGCACGUCUUGACGGUACCUAAUCAGAAAGCCACGGCUAACUACGUG
rnacentral:rRNA from 1 species